rnacentral:rRNA from 1 species
CUAGCCGUAAACGAUGUAGACUUGGCGUUGGCGGAGUUAAAUCUGCCAGUGCCGAAGCUAACGCGUGAAGUCUACCGCCUGGGGACUACGACCGCAAGGUUAAAACUCAAAGGAAUUGACGGGGACCCGCACAAGCAGCGGAGCGUGUGGUUUAAUUCGAUGCUACACGAAGAACCUUACCAAGGUUUGACAUGCAAGUGGUAGUGAUCUGAAAAGUGAACGACCCUUCGGGGAGCUUGCACAGGUGC